AUAUUAAAGACCAGCAUCUCUUCAGGAACCCUCCAGGACUCCAGCACCAGAUUGAGACUGCGGAGACAUCCAAUCUCAUGGACUAGACAACUACCAGAUUCUUGCCUUUUCACUGGGAGACUGCCAUUGUUGGAAUAUCUGGAUCAUAGCCUAUCCAGGGAAAUAAUCAUAGAAUGGAACUGGGGACCUUUGGGCUCACAGUGAUAUGGACCAACCUGACACUCUGUGGAUCUUCUUACCUGUAUUUCCAGAGAGGUCUAAUCCGGCAGGAGUGAGUACCUUUCAGCCGGUGACCCAGUACAAAAAAGCCUAAAGAAAAAGCGGCGUUGGCUGCCUGCCUUCCCUUGGUCUGGAGCCAGUGCCCGGCUCUGCUUCGACUGUCCUCUUCUGACGUCAGACUCAGGCUUCUUCAGCCUUCUUCCAACACGAACUGAACACUAGUGACUCUCUGGGAAUCUUCCAGACCUUCAGCACCAGGUUGGGACUGCUGAGGUGAUCAACUUUGUGGACUAAACAGCGUCUCUAGUGUUGUUUCUCCAAUUCUGCGAGAUGUUGAGAAUCUGCUUGUCUGACACCUAGAGAGAAGUGAGCAAGCCCUCUGGUGUUUCUGGUGCUGCAGCCAUGAGCGGCCCCCAUUGCCACGAUGGAUUGGGAGCCCAAACAAAUCGUUCCUUCCUCCAGUUGUUUCCACCCGGCAUUUUGUCACAGCAAACGGGUGAGAUGACUAAUACAACAGAAGUUUAUAUAGUUAACGAAGUCCAAUCUCUUGGCUGCUGAUCUGGUGAGUGCAUUGGGUUUCUUUGUACAUCUUAAUAAAACUAAUAAGGAGCCUGCUAUUUUCAGCUAACAGGAAACACACCAUCUGUCCCAUCUCAGAGGCUUGGGAAUACCUUGUCCUAUUCCAGCCCUAGGGAUCUUAACUGACUUCUCUUCCUAUGGGCAUCAUGCUGCUCUGCUGCUCCAUUAGACACAGCUGUGCUUCCUGGACCAUCUGAGCAGGAAGUUGUAGGCAUCUGUUCUAGUUUGAUUUCUUUGGCUGUGAGUCCUUACUAUCCUACAGUUCAGAGGCCCUUAUUUUAGGGAAUGGCGCUGCCCAUGGUGGGCUGGGUCUUCCUGCAAUUAACUUAAUGAAGACAUUCCCCAACAGACAUGCCCACAGGCCAAUCCAAAGUCCCUCACUGAGACUGUCUUUCUAGGCGACAGCUCAAUAUCAAGUUGACAUUUAAUGCUGACCUUCAUGAUAUCUAAAGAUGACUUGGCCACAUGAUGUGUGUCUGAAGGUCAGGUGAUCAAAUCCUACAUGAUUUGGGGGAGCCUUCUGCCUUGAUGAUAUUGUGAUGGUGUAGUGGACUGGUCAAGUGGAGAUCUACUUAUGGUCCUUCUUGUUGUGCAAGAUACAGCAAAGUGCCUAGUGGCUUUCCUUGGAUUUUGCAGUUGUCAGAUACAUGAUAUCAAGUGACCCACAGGGAUAUCACUCUUCAGUGAGGCCCAGUGUGGUAGUUUGAAUGUAAUUGGCCUCCAUAAUCUCAUAGGGAG